UGUGGUUGUACAGACUCCUCCCAAUACUCAGGCCUACUGAUCUGCCAGGGACUGUCCGUGUACAGCAGUGAGUUAUGUGGCGUUCCCCCUACAAAUUGGCCGGCUUGUAGACUCGCUGUUCGAGCUUCGCUUCCUGUGGAACAUAAUCUCCCCUGUGCGGCUUGUUGGUGUGACACCCAAGCUCGGUAAAAGAUGCUGCUGUCUGUGCCACCGAUGGGAUAUGGCCCUCGCACACACCGUCUACAGCAAGCUAAAAAGACUUCCUGUGUACCCACCUCGCAUCCAAUGGCCCCUCCUAGUCCCCUCACGAGCAGCAACAACAGCAGUGGCAGCAGUAACGCAGGGUGGGAACAGCUUAGUAAGACGAACCUUUACAUCAGAGGACUGCCACCAGGCACCACUGACCAAGAUCUGGUGAAACUCUGCCAGCCGUAUGGCAAAAUAGUAUCAACGAAAGCCAUUCUGGACAAGACAACUAAUAAAUGCAAAGGUUAUGGCUUUGUGGACUUUGACAGUCCGACUGCAGCUCAGAAGGCAGUGGCUGCCUUAAAGGGCAACGGUAUCCAAGCCCAGAUGGCAAAGCAACAAGAACAGGACCCCACAAACUUGUACAUCUCCAAUCUGCCACCAUCCAUGGAUGAACAAGAACUGGAGAACAUGCUAAAGCCAUACGGACAAGUAAUCUCCACAAGGAUAUUGCGGGAUUCCAACGGAACAAGUCGUGGAGUUGGCUUUGCAAGGAUGGAAUCGACAGAGAAAUGUGAGACAGUCAUAGCACAUUUUAAUGGAAAAUUUAUUAAGACCAUUCCUGGAGUCCCUGCUCCCAUAGAACCAUUACUCUGCAAGUUUGCAGAUGGUGGUCAGAAAAAGCGGCAAAAUCAAAACAAAUUUGUGCAAAAUGGCCGGGCUUGGCAUCGAGAGGGAGAGGUGAGACUUGCUGGCAUGACCCUCGCAUAUGAUCCUGGAGCUUUGCAGAAUGGAUUUUAUUCGGCACCUUACAGUAUUGCAGCAAAUCGAAUGAUUGCACAGACAUCACUUGCACCGUACAUUGCAUCUCCUGUUUCAACCUAUCAGGUGCAGAAUACAUCAUGGAUGCCUCACCAACCUUACCUAAUGCAACACGCUGGCGCAGUAAUGUCUCCAUCCAUGGAACACCCCAUGUCAAUGCAACCUACAUCAAUGAUGAGCCCACUGACACAACAAAUGAGUCAUCUUUCAAUGAACAACACAGGAACGUACAUUCCGACUGCCACGGCCAUGCAGGGAGCAUACAUUCCCCAGUAUGCGCAUGUGCCAACAGCCACUGUUCCCAUGGAGGAGCCCAGCGGUCAACAGCAGCAGCAAGUUUCUGUGGAUUCUUCAUCUGAACACUCUCCCUACUCCUAUCAGCAAAGCAAGUAAUCCUCAGAUCUACAGGAUCGGCCCUCUCCCUGGUGGGCGGAGAACACAUAAGGACUGAAACAAUCAUGGCUUCUGAUCUAAUAUUCUCUAACAAUUGUCAACUUUUGCACAGAUUCUAAGAAAGAAAUAUUUGUAAUAAAAUCAACUGAAACAAAUAUUUUGGUAUAAGUUCUGUCAAGUAUAUAUAAAUGCUAACAUUCAUAAAGAGGUAAAUAAACCUCUAGGAAAUAUCUUUAUUUUGGUAAAAAGAGAGAGGUUAUUUUUAAGAUUUUUUUUCUCAAACCUUUGACAUAUAUAUUCAUGGAUUGAUGGAGUGAAAUUUAUUGUUCAAGUUGCAGGUCAGGUUGGUCUUCGAAGACUAACAACUUCUGCUUCGAUUUAUCUUCUGUAUUAUAUGCUAGGAAAUUUCUGAAGUGUCACAAGUGACCAGAUCACCUUUCCACUGAUGUUCUACGCUUGCUGUGUGAGUGUUGUGAAGUGAUAUUUUUAAUAAGUCUUUUUGUUUGUUAAUGUCUACUUCAUUAGAAGUGGAUAGAUGUCAUCAGGAUUUUAUUUUUCUUCAAAUUGCAAUCUGCCUUAAAUCUCUUGUUUCAUUAGAUGUUUUGAAGUGUUUUAAAGAUAUAAUGAUUUAGUCAUAGAAAGUAGCUCAACAAUGUCUUGCAUUGUUAGAUUUUUUGUAGCAUUAAAAUUUGAUUCGUUGUGGAUCACACCUUUUUUAUUGUAGAUGAUUUUAAUUGUUUUUUUCUUAACUAAGUAGAAAUGAUAGGAAGAAAGGAGUGUUUUUUUCUGAAUUUAAUGAAAUUUUAAGGUGGUUGGGUUAUAAUAUAGAUGAGCUGAGAAUUCUGCUAUAUAGAAAAAAUAAAACCAAUCCUUUGACUUUUCAGGUUAAAUCGAUGUUCUAUUAGAGUAGACAGAGGGGUAAAAGUCGGUGGGCUUAUCAUGACAAUUUUUAUACUCCGCUUUAGCAAGUUUUGAGACUGCUAGAGCUUAAAUGAUUUAUGAUUUCUCACAAGUUAGUAGUGAGGUAGCAAAUGAUUUAUUAUUACAGCAAAUAAAAAAGCUAAAGUAGAAAAUAAAUUGAGAGAUGAGCAAAACUUUGGGUACUAGCUCUCUGAUAAUUUUUUUUGUUUUUAACUUGGCACUUUUAACAUUACCAAAGAAUUUUGAGCUAGCAACUCGACAAAUGGAGAGGAAAAAAAAUUCUCUCAGCUUAGAAUUUCUUCAAUUCUCUUUUUAUGUUAUUUUGUGCCGGACCAGUUCGAUGUGCCUUUUUACAUGCAUUUACAUUUAAUUCUGUGUAAAUGUAGGGACACAAAAAAAAGCAUGAAGGAACGUUUUCAUCCAAGCAGUGCCACACUUUAUAUAUUUUUUAUUUCCAUUGUUGUCACUACAUGUGCUAGAUAUAAUAAGAAUGAUUUUGAAGCUAUGAAAUCUAAGAACUUAUUGCAGCUUUAUCUGGUUAGACUCUGUUUCAUUAGACAUUGUAUCAAGUAAAGUUUGCCUUAUUCACAACAUGUAUUUUAAAGCUAAACAGGUCAUCCUCCAGUGACUGUGCAUUUGGUCAGCUCUUGAUCAGUUAUCUACCUCAGGUUUUGUUUUUUGUUGUGCUUGGCCAAAUCAUUGGCCUGCCUGUCUCAAUAGACCAAAUCACUCUAGCUCAGGAGUUAGCAGUGAAUGUUUUAUGCUCAUGUGUUUAUUUUUCAGAAUUAUUGUAAUAUAUUAAGUUCUCAUCAGUGUAUUUCAUAGUUUCAAAAUAUUUGUUGCUUUGGAGAUUUUUUUUAAAUUAGUUUUUAGAUUCUCAACACAUGUAAUCUUUUUUUAAAAAGCAAGACAAUUGUGGUAUUACCUGUAGAAACAAAGAACUGCAGAUGCUUGUUAACACACAAAAGGACACAAAAUGCGGCCUGACCCACUGAAUUACUCCAGCACUUUGUGCCCUUUGGUGGUGUUACCUGAUUAGUGCUCCUUAAAGACUUUCUCUGGUGUGUACAAGUCUCAGCAUAUUGCAGCAUUCCUGCCUACUUGGAUGAUAGCCAGAAUCAGAGUUACAGAUAAUUGCCGGAUUACUAUGAAUUGUUUAAUUCCGAAAUCUGAGAGGUCUAUAACUGCGUGGAAUUGGCUGCUUUUGGUAUCUGACUUAAGUGCCAAACUUAUUAUCUGGAUAUGAUUUGGAAAAAAAAACCUCUGUACAUAAAGAAAUAAUCAGUUACUAAAGGCUCGCCUAGUAGACAACCAUUAAAUUAUAAAGAAAUUUAAUUUAUGAAGACCUUUUGUACAGAUUGUUUGAAAUUUUUCAUAGAGAUGUCUAUAUGAUCAAGAGAGUUAAUUUUUUUUAAUUGUUUUACUCAUGCCACAAACUUGCCAGUGGUUACCUAUUUGUCCGGUUCCAAAAGACUCGUUCUGUAGCUUUGUUUCCUAAGUUGUUUAAGCCAAGAAAACAUAUUUGAACUGUAAAUUAAUUUUAGAUGGUUCCUUAGUAUUUCUGUGCAUUUUCUUUUGGAAAACUUUUGAAUAAAAAAAGACCAAUUUAAAAUAA